rnacentral:lncRNA from 1 species
AAACAAUGUCCCAGGUAAAGGCUCUGAUUUAUUCAGCACCCUAAACACAGAAGGAGGAGUCUGUUAAGCCAGUGGUUCCCAAACUUUGUUGCAUAUGGGAAACUUUGAAAGGUACUGAUGCCUGACCUGUCUCCAGACAUUCUGAGUAAGGGGUGCAAUGUGGGCAUCGGUACUUUUAAAUGCUCCCCAGUGAUUCUAAUGUGCUGCAAAAUUUGGGAACCACAGUCUUAAGCCCUCCUUUCAGUUUUAAGACAGGAUUGUGCACUUGAUCUAAACUUUAUGUGUAUCAACUUCAUGGGAGAAAAGCAGGAGUCCUCAGGGAAGCAUUUCUAGGAACGAGCUUGAUGCAGCUCCAACUGGAGACAAUAAUGCCCCUCUGUGCCAUUUAAAGAUUUUAUUUUUUUCUCCCAAAGCCCCCCGGUACAUAGUUGUGUAUUUCUAGUUGUGGGUCCUUCUAGUUGUAGGCAUGUGGGAUGCCACCUCAGCACGGCUUGAUGAGUGGCACCAUGUCUGCACCCAGGACUUGAACCAGUGAAACCCCGGGCCACCGAAGCAGAGCAUUUCCAUCUGUCUUACCAGGGUCCCACACACUGGCUUGUAUGUCGUAGUAUCAAAGAUUCAUCAGGUGCUUUUAGAGAUGGAUGACACCUUCGAGGUCAUCUUGCUCACUCCCUUCAGCCUGCAGAAGUGGAAGAUCACAGUGAGUUGUGAAGCUGGGAUGAGAAUGCGGGUCACCUUGGCUAUCAGCUCAGUGCUCUUGGCACUCUUCCAAAUUCAAUGAAUGUUUGUUAAUUUGUGCACUGAUUUAAUGUCAAAAUGACACAUAUUGUCGUUGGUAUAUUAUACAUAUGGAAGCUUAAAACUAUUUCAUGAGAUAGUUACCAUUGUAAGUAAUUUUUGGCUUUAAUAAGGUUUCAGAUUCAUCCAGCCAAAGAGUUUAGUGAAUGGGUCUCAAAGUUUCGUUUGCAGAUCAGCAGCAUUAACAAAACCUAGGAAUUUGUUAUAAAUACAGUUUCUCUGACUCCACCCUAGAAUUAUUGUAUCGGAAACUAUGGGGGUGAGGCACAGCAAAAUGUGUUUUAAUAAGCCCUCCAGGAGAUUCUGAUGCUCACUCAGGUUUUUGAAGUGUGGUUUAGUGUGAAGUGUCUGUUUAUUUCUUUGGUUUAAGAAAUAUAUAACUACAGGGGGCCGGCCCCGUGGCCGAGUGGUUAAGUUUGUGUGCUCCGCUUCGGUGGCCCAGGGUUUGGAUCCUGGGUGCGGACAUGGCACCGAUCAUUAGGCCAUGUUGACGCAGCGUCCCACAUGCCACAACUAGAAGGACUACAACUGAAAUAUACAACUAUGUACUGCGGG